rnacentral:rRNA from 1 species
CACACCGCCCGUCACACCAUGGGAGUCAGUUGCUCCAGAAACGGCUGCGCUAACCCGCAAGGGGGGCAGGUCUUUAAGGAGUGACUGGUAACUGGGGUG